AGUGAACGCUGGCGGUAGGCCUAACACAUGCAAGUCGAACGGCAGCACAGUAAGAGCUUGCUCUUACGGGUGGCGAGUGGCGGACGGGUGAGGAAUACAUCGGAAUCUACUUUUUCGUGGGGGAUAACGUAGGGAAACUUACGCUAAUACCGCAUACGACCUACGGGUGAAAGCAGGGGAUCUUCGGACCUUGCGCGAUUGAAUGAGCCGAUGUCGGAUUAGCUAGUUGGCGGGGUAAAGGCCCACCAAGGCGACGAUCCGUAGCUGGUCUGAGAGGAUGAUCGGCCAACAUGGAACUAGGAAACGGCCCAACACCCAAGGGGAGGAAGAGGGGGGGAAUAUGGGAAAAGGGGCGAAAGCCUGUCCCAGCCAAACCGCGGGGGGGAAAAAGGCCUUCGGGUUGUAAACCCCUUUUUUUGGGAAAGAAAAGCAGCAGGUUAAAACCCCGCUGUUUUGACGGGACCAAAAGAAUAAGCACCGGCUAACUUCGU
rnacentral:rRNA from 1 species